UUGCUGUGUUGUACAGAUCAACCGACCACUACCCUAAGGUCCUGGUGACUCUUAGUCCUGUCCCUGCCUGGCUGCAGCAGAGCUGUUUGCUGCCCUGGUCCCCUCCUGUUGUAUGAACACAGAGAUCAGCUGAGAGGCAGGACUGAGAACCAGCAUGGCUGACAGACUGACACAGUUUCUUCUCCUACAAGCUAGCAGAGUAAAGCCUAAUCACCAGUCAGAUCUCAGUACAACCAUGAGGACCCCCUCCAUCAUCAACUCUGCAGACCCCACAGCUGGCCUGGAGAACAUAAGGGGCCAAAGGAAUCCUUCACUGCUGAACCUGGGGGGCAUCAUUGGGAUGGUCAUGGCCAAAGUUGUAGUCAUCAUCCCCCUCUACGGAUGGAUGAUCUUUCUGUAGUGGAAGCAAAGACAGGCUCUGCCUUCGAUUACCGUAAGUAGAAGUGAGAGGUGGAAAAGCAGCAGCCAGGGAAGCAGCAGAAGACAAACAAGAAUUCAAACCAUGAGACUGAAUCUGCAGGGUGCAGGAGCCAACACUGAAAGGAAGAACUAGAGAGCCAGAUUCCAGAAAGGCAAAAGUGAAAUAUGGUGUGAACAGAGCGAAGAAAGCAGAGAUGUGUCAAGAGGUCAGAGAAGAGGGAAGAAAAGAAAAGAGGAAGAAAUAGAAGUGGGCCAGCAGAGUAAAGCCUAAACCCCAGCCAGGCUCCGGAUGAGACAUCAUCCCUUCUUCCUCAACUAAGAGACCUCCCAGUGCUUGGAUCUCUCACCAAGGAGAUGAGUUUAUAUCAAAGUAGUCAUUGGUGAUCAGACACCCUGCAUCCCACAACCUCCCAUGUGAUUCUCUCUGGGAAUCAGAGCUCAUGGCUGCAGAAUUCUGCUGUGAAAGAUCACCAUACUUGGAUAACCCCCACUCCUGCUACAUGGUCUCUGAAACCCUCUGCUUGGAACCAACUUCAUCUCGUAUGUCUCUGGGCCUGAGAGCCUGACUGUGCUCUUUGUUCUCUGCUCAUGGACUUAUUGACACUUUCAAUAAAUACCUUACUUCCCGCA